rnacentral:lncRNA from 1 species
AGGAAACGGCGGCGGCGCCCGGGAGUCGUUGAAGCCCUCCGCGCUGGGGGCCGCCGGGAACCAUUCUCCCCAAGCCCAGAGGCAGGACUUCGCAGCAGGAUGGGGUGGAGAGCCCGCAGGAGUGACCCCCACGAGAGUGAACGCCCCUCACACUCCCACCAUCGCCGGCUGGCCCCGGAGCGGGAGGCCCGCAGCCAGAUCUUCAGCCAAGGGACCACGAUUCGCCGGGGGGCUGGGGGUUUGCUGCCCAGGACCGUGCUGCACCAGGGCCCUGAGCCGUAGGGGGAUGGGGGGAGGGGUGGGGAGAUCCCGGCACCAAACCCUUCUGCGCCGCUCGCUCUGGUGUAUCCUACAUGCAGGGGUGACUGGGGCUUUCCCCCAAGACUCAGGGGAAGGAUGGAGCUGUAGGGGCUCUUUUUAAGUAAGCUGAAGCUCUCGAAAGGAGGAGGGCACCAAAAGUAGUGGAGCUCAGGUACGUCAAUCUAGUUGCAGUGGCCAGAGAUGCAUUAAAUUUCUAGAACCCUGUAUAUAGUUGUUGACAUAUGCACUAGAAGCUAUAAUCACAUAGAAUUCUAUGUAUAUCCUCCCACACCCUGGGUAGCUACUGACUGAAGGGGUCAAGCAAGGGCUAUUUGCUGUCCCCCAAAAAGUACACCUGGCCAGAAGGGCACAAACACGGCUUCUUAAAUCACUCACUUUCUCCUGUUCCCCUCCUGUUUCUGAAAUAUAAGUUUAUGACGUUCUUUCACAAAAGAGUAUAAUCAUUCUUAGACUGUUGACAUGGCUGUGGAAAGCCUUAGGAGAAGUAGAAACAAUUUAGGGAGGGUGGGGAAUGUACUCAUCGCCUCUUCUUUCCAUCCUAGUGCCCCCACCAAAGAGGCUUCUUGUUGCGGCCCUCAGUAUCUGGAUAUGGGCCAGGGAGGAAGGAAGGGAAAGAGCAAUGCUGCUGUGCUUCAAUCCUGGCCUUCCCCUCACAGAAUUCUUUUAGGAAGAGCAAGCUUUUAAUCCUUUGAACUUGUAGAACAUCUGGGAGUCCACUUCCCUGUCCUCUUCCUGAUCCCUGCUUUCUGGACUGUUUAAAUCCUCUUUGGGAUGGAUCAGAGAGUCUAGAGAGGCCACUCAUAGGUCCAGCUGCUGGCCUCCUGACUCUCCAAAGCUUUCACUGGAAUUGGGACAUUUGCUCCAGCCCUAGCUGUGAACAUGACCAGAGACAUUAUUUAUAAUUCAGCCAUUUAAGAUAUACCUGUACUCAAAAAGUCCUGUAUAUUUUUAAAAAGUUUUAUUUUUC